GAUGAACGCUGGCGGCGUGCCUAAUACAUGCAAGUCGAGCGAACAGACGAGGAGCUUGCUCCUCUGACGUUAGCGGCGGACGGGUGAGUAACACGUGGAUAACCUACCUAUAAGACUGGGAUAACUUCGGGAAACCGGAGCUAAUACCGGAUAAUAUAUUGAACCGCAUGGUUCAAUAGUGAAAGACGGUUUUGCUGUCACUUAUAGAUGGAUCCGCGCCGCAUUAGCUAGUUGGUAAGGUAACGGCUUACCAAGGCAACGAUGCGUAGCCGACCUGAGAGGGUGAGCGGCCACACUGGAACUGAGACACGUCCCAGACUCCUACGGGAGGCGGAAGUAGGGAAUUUUCCGAAAUGGGCGAAAUCCUGACGGAGCAACGCCGCGUGAGUGAUGAAGGUCUUCGGAUCGUAAAACUCUGUUAUUAGGGAAGAACAAAUGUGUAAGUAACUAUGCACGUCUUGACGGUACCUAAUCAGAAAGCCACGGCUAACUACGUG
rnacentral:rRNA from 1 species